rnacentral:rRNA from 1 species
UACGAAGGGGGCUAGCGUUGUUCGGAAUUACUGGGCGUAAAGCGCGCGCAGGCGGUCCUUCAAGUCAGAGGUGAAAGCCCAGAGCUCAACUCUGGAACGGCCUUUGAGACUAGAGGACUUGGGUACGGGAGAGGUGAGUGGAAUUCCGAGUGUAGAGGUGAAAUUCGUAGAUAUUCGGAAGAACACCGGUGGCGAAGGCGGCGACCUGGUCCUUUACUGACGCUGAGGCGCGAAAGCGUGGGGAGCAAACAGG